rnacentral:tRNA from 2 species
GCCUCGGUGGUGAAAUUGGUAGACACAUCGCACUUAAAAUGCGCCGUCGAAGGACGUGCCGGUUCGAGUCCGGCCCGAGGCACCA